rnacentral:lncRNA from 1 species
AGUUCUUAUCAACCAACACUUUUAAUUGCAAAAAGUAAAAACCUUCAUUACAAUAAACUUUAAUUUACAUACUGUGAGUAAGGGUGGCUGCACAGGUGAGCCCCCUGCCCCAAGGAGCUGCUGUGGGGAGCGAUGGUGUCAAUGAAGCCUGGCACAGAGAAGAUGUCCCAACUCCCCAGUUUCUGUCUGAAACUCAGACCUCGGCUGGGUUCCUUUCUCCACACAGUGCUUGCCGCCAUGGCUCAUUCUUGGAUUGAUGGCUGCUGCCUGCCUGACAGACACACUAGGCAGAGGCGGAAGGGUCUCUGGUCCAGCCCUGUCAAAUCCUGACAGUUCCAGGCCUCCACUUAGUUAUGUAACAUUCCUUCCCUCCACUAGUCUGAAAAAGUCUGGACAUUUCGCAGUCUCCAGGGAGAGGAAUAUGACAGAUGUAUUUGGCACUAAUGCUUAAAUUAUGCAGGGCAGGGAAACCAGAGACACUGAGGGACCUGGACAACAGACAAGCUGGCUGAGGGUUUCUCUUCAAGGCCAGCAUUUAGUCACACUGCGUCCACGGUGGGUGGACUUGGAUGUGGUGCACGAGAAGGAGAGCACCUGUCCGUCUCCCUGACAUGCUUCUGGAAGAGGCUGCUGGGGAUGUGGAGACUGGGGGUGGGGAGUUGGUUAGGUGGUCUUAUCGUCACCCUGCAGCCCCACUUUCUCAUCCUGACAACCCUCUUUCCCACACCGGGUCAUACAGAGGGACUUUUGAUGCUUCCAGCUAGAUGGCAGGGGCAUCCUGUGGCAUCCUGCUGUGCAGGGCCUUGAUCAUCAGAAAGGGACUGGCUGGCAACCCCUAGCCACUCCUGUCGCUCUGGCCAGUAGUAGAUUCUGCUUAUCAAAAUUAACUUGAGAAGUUGAACUGCUUCUGUGUAUGUAGAAAACCCUCUUUGGAGAAUUUUCCCCUAAUACAAGUUUACAUUCAAGUCUGAACUGGGUAGAUUUUAAGUAAAAUGAGUAGUAUAUCCAUAAAAGUCUCCACUUAUCUUCUGCUACAGUCAUUUUUUGUUGAAGUACAAAAUGGGACUUAGGGGACUUUCCCACGGGAUGCCUCAGAAUACCAACACAUGCAAGGGUUUCUUAUGGACAUUUAAGAUGUGAAGGGCAAGAGUGAAAUGGGGAAAGGAAUACAGAGUAACUCACAGAAACAAAACAGAGAUCUCAGUAAUCAAAAUAGUUGCUUUGUUCCUAAGAAACCCUCUCUUUUGUUAAUGGGUCUGAUUUUUAAAAACUCUCAGAGGCCUCUAAAGCACUUGUUUACACAUAGCCCUUCCCCAUGUACAGCCAGGGUAAGGACACUGCAGAAGGCUGUAAAAGCUUGCACAAAGCCGGCCUCCAGAUGAUCCCUCUGACUUAAAACCUCUUAAAUCAUAACUGCUUAACAACAUGACUUUCAUACGUACACAAGUUUUGUUGUUCCUGUAUUCAUCCACACAAGGGGUUGAUUAAGAAAAAAUUCCCUCAGGUACAGUUCAUCGGAGUUUCACUGAAGCCCGUGGAGGAGGCUCUGAUGUUUCUAUCCUGAGCUCUGUGAACUCUGCUUGUCCUUUGCAAGCCCAUAGACAAACAGGCCAUUCAAGUGCUCAAUGGUCCCCACUGCUGUUCAUGAGACCCACAGAGAAAGAGGGCCUGAGAGAUGAGAUGCAGGCUCCUCCAGGAAUGAAGAGGGCUUCACAACCAUCUUCACUCGUCAUUGUCUGCCUCUGAUCCAUAAUUCUGACAUAGACACCUACUGCAUCCUUUGAUUUCUGCAAUUCAGAACCAGAGGCCAAAGUGUAGUUUGCUUUUUCUUCAUCUUGGCAAUGGCAUGACCAGUGGCCAGCUAUCUAGUGGUGUCAAUAAAAGAAUAAUAAAGAGAGAAAAAAAUAAAAGGAACAGGAAAAGAACAUCCUUAUUUACACCAUUUGAUUGCUACCUACUAAAAGCACUUAGGAGAAAACAAUGCACAUAGUGAAUCAUCCAAUCAGAAACACACAGCUUUAUAUUAUUACAAAAAAGAAAAACACCUCACCUUGUCUUUGUUUCGCAGCACAGACAG